AUUGAACGCUGGCGGCAUGCUUUACACAUGCAAGUCGAGCGGCAGCGCGGGCUUCGGCCUGGCGGCGAGUGGCGAACGGGUGAGUAAUAAAUCGGAACGUGCCCAGUAGUGGGGGCUAGGUUGGCGAAAGGCGGCUUAAUACCGCAUACGACCUGAGGGUGAAAGGGGGGGGUCUUCGGACCUAGCGGUUUUUGAGGGGCCGAUUGCAGGUGAGCGAGUUGGGGGGGUAAAGACCUACCAGGGGGGCGAUCUGUAGCUGGUCUGGGAGGGCGACCCGCCACACAGGGACUGGAAAACGGCCCAGACCCCUAGGGGGGGCAGCAUUGGGGAAUUUGGGACAAUGGGCGAAAGCCUGAGCAAGCAAGGCGGCGGGGGUGAUGAAGGCCUCCGGUUGGUAAAGCACUUUUGGCGGGAACGAAAAGGACUGUGCAAAGACCACGGUUCGAUGACGGAACCCGCAGAAGAAGCACGGGCUAACUACGG
rnacentral:rRNA from 1 species